GAGAAUGAAUGAGUACCUCCUACCACUUUGGGCCCCAUUAUCCAAAAUAGUAUCAUCAAGUUCAGUCCUUUGUUGGUGUUGACGGAUAGGUUGCUUGACUAAUGAAAUGUUGGUGGCAUCUGUUUCAACUGGACUGGGAUAACAACAGUCAGGUGCACCCAUUUGAAAUAAUGUUCUACACAUAGAAGGACUUCACCUAUUCCCCCAUUAAAC
rnacentral:lncRNA from 1 species